rnacentral:rRNA from 1 species
CAGUCGCCACGGGAAUACGUAGGGUGCAAGCGUUAAUCGGAAUUACUGGGCGUAAAGCGUGCGUAGGUGGUGGUUUAAGUCCGUUGUGAAAGCCCUGGGCUCAACCUGGGAAUUGCAGUGGAUACUGGAUCACUAGAGUGUGGUAGAGGAUGGUGGAAUUUCCGGUGUAGCAGUGAAAUGCGUAGAGAUCGGAAGGAACAUCUGUGGCGAAGGCGACUAUCUGGGCCAACACUGACACUGAGGCACGAAAGCGUGGGGAGCAAACAGGAUUAGAUACCCGUGAGUCCCUGUCUCUUAUACA